rnacentral:rRNA from 1 species
UACGUAGGGGGCUAGCGUUGUCCGGAUUUAUUGGGCGUAAAGAGCGUGUAGGCGGCCAGGUAGGUCUGCUGUGAAAACUCGGGGCUCAACCUCGAGACGUCGGCGGAAACCAUCUGGCUAGAGUCCGGAAGAGGAGAGUGGAAUUCCUGGUGUAGCGGUGAAAUGCGCAGAUAUCAGGAGGAACACCGGUGGCGAAGGCGGAUCUCUGGGCCUGUUCUGACGCUGAGGCGCGAAAGCUAGGGGAGCGAACAGG